GGGCGCUUAGCUCAGUUGGCUAGAGCAUCUCGUUUACACCGAGAGGGUCGGGGGUUCGAGUCCCUCAGCGCCCACCA
rnacentral:tRNA from 22 species